AGGGCUUUGAUCCUGGCUCAGGAUGAACGCUGGCGGCGUGCCUAACACAUGCAAGUCGAGCGAUCUCUUCGGAGAGAGCGGCGGACGGGUGAGUAACGCGUGGGUAACCUGCCCUGUACACACGGAUAACAUACCGAAAGGUAUACUAAUACGGGAUAAUAUACGAAAGUCGCAUGGCUUUUGUAUCAAAGCUCCGGCGGUACAGGAUGGACCCGCGUCUGAUUAGCUAGUUGGUAAGGUAAUGGCUUACCAAGGCAACGAUCAGUAGCCGACCUGAGAGGGUGAUCGGCCACACUGGAACUGAGACACGGUCCAGACUCCUACGGGAGGCAGCAGUGGGGAAUAUUGCACAAUGGGCGAAAGCCUGAUGCAGCAACGCCGCGUGAGCGAUGAAGGCCUUCGGGUCGUAAAGCUCUGUCCUCAAGGAAGAUAAUGACGGUACUUGAGGAGGAAGCCCCGGCUGA
rnacentral:rRNA from 1 species